UACAGAGGUCUCAAGCGUUGUUCGGAUUCAUUGGGCGUAAAGGGUGUGUAGGUGGCGCCGUAAGUCGGGUGUGAAAUUUCGGAGCUUAACUCCGAAACUGCAUUCGAUACUGCGGUGCUUUGAGGACUGGGAGAGGAGACUGGAAUUCAUGGUGUAGCAGUGAAAUGCGUAGAGAUCAUGAGGAAGACCAGUGGCGAAGGCGGGUCUCUGGACAGUUCCUGACACUGAGACACGAAGGCCAGGGGAGCAAACGGG
rnacentral:rRNA from 1 species